AUGAUCAUGACGCUUUGGCGUAACUGGUACGUGCGGAAUGAGGUGUAUCAUCACAAACCAGCCCCGCCAAUUGAAGCCUCGACUAGAUUUUUAUCCGGCUACAUCAACACAUUGUUGUACAUUCAGCAACACCACUCUGAUGAUGUUGCAAAAGGGAAGAAAGGCAUCACCUAUGGAGGACGGAGGAAUAGUAACCUACAGUAUGGAAUAUCAAACACUUGCAUGCUGCCGCUGUUGCGUUGGAGCAAGCCUCCACCUGGUUGGGUCAAGUUGAAUGUGGACGGGUCUUGGAAAGAGGAGGAGGGCACAGGAGGUGCCGGCAUGGUCCUUCGAGACUACGCAGGUUCCAUAAUUUUUUCUUCUUGUCGCUUCAUCCCGCGGUGCACAAGCGCCCUCGAGGCUGAGAUCGCAGCUCUCAUGGAGGGAGUGGACCUGGCCCUCGAGCGGAGUCCGGACGGGCUGAUCGUUGAGACGGACUGCUCAGUAGCGAUGCGCAUGAUCAUGGAUACUGAAGCCAAUAGGUCCCCGGUUGCAGCCAUGGUUGGGGAUAUUAGGCAGCUCCUAGCUAGCCGUCCGCAUAAGAUCAUGUUAAUUAAGCGAGAACAGAACAAAGUUAGCCAUGCUCUCGCCCAAAUGGGUCGGUUGUUACCUAAAACUGCUGUCUGGCUCCGUAGUGCCCCUGAUGAGGUUGACAUUUUAUGUCAACAGGACUGUAAUAGUGUCUCUGGUUAA
rnacentral:rRNA from 1 species